rnacentral:rRNA from 1 species
AGUCGUAACAGGUUUCCGUAGGUGAACCUGCGGAAGGAUCAUUGUCGAACCCUGAAAAGUAGACCGCGAACACGUGUUUAACAUCAUGGGGGACGGUGCGGGGGCAACCCUCUGCCGUGACCCAUCUCCUGCGGGCGUGUAUCUUCGGGUCACGUCUUGCGGGCUAACGAACCCCGGCGCGGAAUGCGCCAAGGAAAACUAAACGAAGCGUUUCCCCCCAGCAUCCCGUCCGCGGAGCGUGUUGGGGGAUCGAACGUCUAUCAAAUGUCAAAACGACUCUCGGCAACGGAUAUCUCGGCUCUCGCAUCGAUGAAGAACGUAGCGAAAUGCGAUACUUGGUGUGAAUUGCAGAAUCCCGUGAACCAUCGAGUCUUUGAACGCAAGUUGCGCCCGAAGCCAUUAGGCUGAGGGCACGUCUGCCUGGGCGUCACGCAUCGCGUCGCCCCCCUUCCCCGCGCUCAAAGCCGGGUGUUAGGGGGCGGACAUUGGCCUCCCGUGUACUUCGGGUGUGCGGCUGGCCCAAAUGCGAUCCCCGGGCGACUAGCGUCACGACAAGUGGUGGUUGAACAUCUCAAUCUCUCUCGUAGUCGUGCAGCUGUGUCGUCAUUACGGGCACAAUCACAAAUGACCCAACGGGUGUCGGUGCGUAACUGCACCCCAUCUUCGACCGCGACCCCAGGUCAGGCGGGAUUACCCGCUGAGUU